rnacentral:rRNA from 1 species
UACGAAGGGGGCUAGCGUUGUUCGGAAUCACUGGGCGUAAAGCGCACGUAGGCGGGUUCUUAAGUCGGGGGUGAAAGCCCAGGGCUCAACCCUGGAAUUGCCUUCGAUACUGGAUGUCUUGAGUUCGGGAGAGGUGAGUGGAAUGCCGAGUGUAGAGGUGAAAUUCGUAGAUAUUCGGCGGAACACCAGUGGCGAAGGCGACUCACUGGCCCGAUACUGACGCUGAUGCGCGAAAGCGUGGGGAGCGAUCCGG